rnacentral:RNase_P_RNA from 1 species
GAAGUUGACCAAACAGUCGCUGUUUAAUGUUUUUUAUAACAUUUAAGAGAGGAAAGUCCGGGCUCCAUAGAGCAAGGCGCCAGAUAACAUCUGGAAAGCGCAAGCUUAUGACUAGUGCAACAGAAAAAAAACCACCUAUUUUAUAUCUUUAAAAACAUAAAAUUCGGUAAGGGUGAAAUGGCGUGGUAAGAGCACACCGCAUAAUUGGUAACAAUUUUGGCAUGGCAAACUUCCGCCUGGAGCAAAGCUAAAUAUAGGUCCAUUUUUUUUAUUAUACGUAUUGCUCGUACUGAUAAAACCUGGGUAAGCUGCUUGAAUCAGUAAGUGAUUACUGAUCUAGAUAAAUGACUGUUCAAGACAGAACCCGGCUUAUAGGUCAACUUCAUAA